AUGAAGAAAGCUCGGGAAAAACUUGGCGGCUUAGUUGGAAGGAACCCAGGAUUGUCAAAAGAUUUUAAUGAUAUAGUUGACUUUAGCUUCACUCCAGGAGAAUUUGAGACAAAAUGGACAAGCUUCAAGGAUAAGUGGCCUUUUAUUGCUGGAACCCACUUUGAUAAGCUGUAUGAGUACCGGGCAACAUGGGUGCCGUGUUACUUCAACCACCGGUUUUUUUCCUUCUUGCAGUCUACCCAGCGAAGUGAAGGUUUUAAUGCAGUUCUUAAGCAUUAUGUGAACCCGCACAACUCUGUGUUGAACUUUGUUAAGCAGUAUGAGAAAAUACAGACGCAUGUGCUUGUCCGUGAGGGCGGAAAUGACUAUAGGACAGACCACUUGGAGGUUGAGUUGUGGUCUGAUUUCCCAAUCGAGAAACAAGCCUAUGAAGCCUACACUAGGGACAUUUACCUCAAGUUCCGAACCGAGUUUGAACUAAUUGGGAAAUACAAUGUUCGUCCGCAUGGUGCUAGUUUGUUUGAGCUUUACCCAAACAGA
rnacentral:rRNA from 1 species